GCUGUGACGACCUAGUAGGAAUGUUUGACAGUAAAGGAAAAAAGGUCCCUUGUAUUGGAUUCAGUAAUGGGGUAUGAAAGAAUAUUCUCCAUUUUGGAAGCAAAAGCAAAGUCAUGUGCAAUAAGAAAGCCAACUAGCCACUAUAACAUGGACUGACACCUCAACUUCAGGUCUCGUGUCAAAAUGAUGUCAUGCAGCUAGCCUCUGAUUGGUCAGUUUUGUUUAAUUGCUGAUUAAUAUUGAUGAGGUACCUAAUAGUAUAUCGGUAUAAGGAGGUGACCAGUAGCAGUGAAUCUGGUGGUACUGACUACUAUGGUCGUUCCAAGUGCAAGGAGUUAGCUAAAAACGAUCCUGAUAAUGCAGUCAAAAAUGCUGAUAAUUACUGUUAUCACUAUUGUGAUGCUCAGAAAUAGAGCUCAGCAGCUAAAAGCCAAGAACUUUAGGAGUCAUGCAACACUAUAGGACAUGCACAGUUUAUUUUUGUUGCUUUAAGCCUCUUUUUGCUUAA